UCCAACAGGGCUGCCAGCCAUGCACGGUCCAUCUUCAUACUCACUGAGCUCCUGCCGUAUCCAAAAUUCGUUCAGGGAUAAAGAAAGCAUGGACCCAGCCCCUGAAGAACUUAUAAGAAGCAGCCUGUAUAGUGCCAAAGCAUCACCUUGGGACAGCUCUGCAUCCAGAUCCCACAGAGAUGGUGAGAACUGUGUUGAUUAGACCUGGCACUCAAGGCCUUGAAGUGUCAGUUUCUCCUCCAUAAGAAUGGAGAGGGCAAUAGCCAUCUCAUGUUCAUGAAAACAGAAUGAGAAUAAACAUCUGAAAUGCCUCAUGCAUGUCAUAAGAAGCCAACGUUGUAGUUAUUAUUGAAUACUCUGUCCUAGUACAGAUAUGAUACAUGCAGAAUCUGAUAAACACUAAAAAAACAAAAAAAAAAACACACCCAAAGGACUGUAGACGCAUAAAGGAAGAGUCACUGAAGUAGCUGAAAGUGCUGUGAAGACCUGGCUUUGAAUCCCUCCUCUGUCACUCAGGAGCUGUGUAAACGUGGAUGCUUCGCUUCAUUUCUCUAAGCCUCUGCUUUUUCAUCUAGAAAGUGGAGAUAAUAGGACCUCCUUAAACAGCAAUAAGUAUUAAAUAAAUGCUUGUUGAGUCCGCGGUUGAGUUUCAACCAGGGAGACUUCUUAAAAUAGGUGGUGUUUGAGCCGAGCCCUGAGGAAUGAGGAGGUUGUUCAUAAGGGCAAAAAGGACCAAGAAGACCUCUCAGGGUGAGGAAAGAGCUGAGUGAAGUUCAUGAACGAUCACGAAUGUGUCAGAUCGGAAGAACGUCGUG